UACGAAGGGGGCUAGCGUUGUUCGGAAUUACUGGGCGUAAAGGGCGCGUAGGCGGCUUCGAUAGUCGGGUGUGAAAUGCCUGGGCUCAACCCAGGAACUGCACUCGAAACUCCGAGGCUAGAGUGUGGGAGAGGAUAGUGGAAUUCCCAGUGUAGAGGUGAAAUUCGUAGAUAUUGGGAAGAACACCGGUGGCGAAGGCGGCUAUCUGGACCACAACUGACGCUGAGGCGCGAAAGCGUGGGGAGCAAACAGG
rnacentral:rRNA from 3 species